rnacentral:rRNA from 2 species
GGGGGUACGUUUAUCGGCAUUAUUGCGGCGUAAGCGCGCGCAGGUGGUUUCUUAAGUCUGAUGUGAAAGCCCACGGCUCAACCUUGGAGGUGCAUUGGAUACUGGGAGACUUGAGUGCAGAAGAGGAGAGUAGAAUUCCAUGUGUAGCGGUGAAAUGCGUAGAGAUAUGGAGGAACACCAGUGGCGAAGGCGACUUUCUGGUCUGUAACUGACACUGAGGCGCGAAAGCGUGGGGAGCAAACAGGAUUAGAUACCCUGGUAGUCCACGCCGUAAACGAUGACUGCUUAGUGGUAGAGGGCUUCCGCCCUUUAUUGCUGAACUUAACCCAUUAAUCACUCCGCCUGGGGAGUACGGCCGCAAGGCUGAAACUCAAAGGAAUUGACGGGGGCCCGCACAACCGGGGAACCAUGUGGUUUAAUUCAAACCAACCCAAAAAACCUUACCGGGUCUUGACUUCCUCUGACAACCCUAAAAAUAGGGCUUCUCCUUCGGAACCAUAAUGACAGGUGGUGCAUGGUUGUCGUCAGCUCGGGUCGUGAAAUGUUGGGUUAAUUCCCGCAACAAGCGCAACCCUUGAUCUUAUUUGCCAUCAUUCAGUUGGGCACUCUAAGGAGACUGCCGGUGACAAACCGGAGGAAGGUGGGGAUGACGUCAAAUCAUCAUGCCCCUUAUGACCUGGGCUACACACGUGCUACAAUGGACGGUACAAAGAGCUGCAACACCGCGAGGUGGAGCUAAUCUCAUAAAACCGUUCUCAGUUCGGAUUGAGGCUGCAACUCGCCUACAUGAAAGUGGAAUCGCUAGUAUCGCGGAUCACAUGCCCGGGGGAAUACGUUCCCGGGCCUUGUCCCACCGCCCGUCCACCAUGAGAGUGUGUACACCCGAAGUCGGUGGUUAACCUUUUUGAGGCGCUACCAAUUGUGAUCAUGAUGGGUGAUCAGGAAGCCCCCCCAAAAAAAAAAAGGGGCAAAGGUUCGU